rnacentral:rRNA from 1 species
AAAUUGAAGAGUUUGAUCAUGGCUCAGAUUGAACGCUGGCGGCAGGCCUAACACAUGCAAGUCGAACGGUAACAGGAAACAGCUUGCUGUUUCGCUGACGAGUGGCGGACGGGUGAGUAAUGUCUGGGAAACUGCCUGAUGGAGGGGGAUAACUACUGGAAACGGUAGCUAAUACCGCAUAACGUCGCAAGACCAAAGAGGGGGACCCUCGGGCCUCUUGCCAUCGGAUGUGCCCAGAUGGGAUUAGCUUGUUGGUGGGGUAACGGCUCACCAAGGCGACGAUCCCUAGCUGGUCUGAGAGGAUGACCAGCCACACUGGAACUGAGACACGGUCCAGACUCCUACGGGAGGCAGCAGUGGGGAAUAUUGCACAAUGGGCGCAAGCCUGAUGCAGCCAUGCCGCGUGUAUGAAGAAGGCCUUCGGGUUGUAAAGUACUUUCAGCGGGGAGGAAGGGAGUAAAGUUAAUACCUUUGCUCAUUGACGUUACCCGCAGAAGAAGCACCGGCUAACUCCGUGCCAGCAGCCGCGGUAAUACGGAGGGUGCAAGCGUUAAUCGGAAUUACUGGGCGUAAAGCGCACGCAGGCGGUUUGUUAAGUCAGAUGUGAAAUCCCCGGGCUCAACCUGGGAACUGCAUCUGAUACUGGCAAGCUUGAGUCUCGUAGAGGGGGGUAGAAUUCCAAGUGUAGCGGUGAAAUGCGUAGAGAUCUGGAGGAAUACCGGUGGCGAAGGCGGCCCCCUGGACGAAGACUGACGCUCAGGUGCGAAAGCGUGGGGAGCAAACAGGAUUAGAUACCCUGGUAGUCCACGCCGUAAACGAUGUCGACUUGGAGGUUGUGCCCUUGAGGCGUGGCUUCCGGAGCUAACGCGUUAAGUCGACCGCCACCGGGGAGUACGGCCGCAAGGUUAAAACUCAAAUGAAUUGACGGGGGCCCGCACAAGCGGUGGAGCAUGUGGUUUAAUUCGAUGCAACGCGAAGAACCUUACCUGGUCUUGACAUCCACGGAAGUUUUCAGAGAUGAGAAUGUGCCUUCGGGAACCGUGAGACAGGUGCUGCAUGGCUGUCGUCAGCUCGUGUUGUGAAAUGUUGGGUUAAGUCCCGCAACGAGCGCAACCCUUAUCCUUUGUUGCCAGCGGUCCGGCCGGGAACUCAAAGGAGACUGCCAGUGAUAAACUGGAGGAAGGUGGGGAUGACGUCAAGUCAUCAUGGCCCUUACGACCAGGGCUACACACGUGCUACAAUGGCGCAUACAAAGAGAAGCGACCUCGCGAGAGCAAGCGGACCUCAUAAAGUGCGUCGUAGUCCGGAUUGGAGUCUGCAACUCGACUCCAUGAAGUCGGAAUCGCUAGUAAUCGUGGAUCAGAAUGCCACGGUGAAUACGUUCCCGGGCCUUGUACACACCGCCCGUCACACCAUGGGAGUGGGUUGCAAAAGAAGUAGGUAGCUUAACCUUCGGGAGGGCGCUUACCACUUUGUGAUUCAUGACUGGGGUGAAGUCGUAACAAGGUAACCGUAGGGGAACCUGCGGUUGGAUCACCUCCUUACCUUAAAGAAGC